GAUGAACGCUGGCGGUAUGCCUAACACAUGCAAGUCGUACGAGGGUUUUUAACNCUAGUGGCGACGGGUGAGUAACACGUGAGAAUUUGCCUUUAGGAGGGGGAUAACAAUCGGAAACGAAUGCUAAUACCCCAUAUGCUUUUGAGUGAAACGGAUUUAUCCGCCUAAAGAGAAGCUCGCGGCUGAUUAGCUUGUUGGUAAGGUAAGAGCUUACCAAGGCGACGAUCAGUAUCUGGUUUGAGAGGACGAUCAGACACACUGGAACUGAGACACGGUCCAGACUCCUACGGGAGGCAGCAGUGGGGAAUUUUCCGCAAUGGGCGAAAGCCUGACGGAGCAAUACCGCGUGAGGGAAGACUGCCUAUGGGUUGUAAACCUCUUUUUUCAGGGAGGAAUAAAAUGACGUGUACCUGAAGAAUAAGCAUCGGCUAACUCCGUG
rnacentral:rRNA from 1 species